GAAGGCAGGAUAAUCGCGCUUUUCUUUAUUUAUAAAGAAUUGUGAGGAAAGUCCGGGCUUCACGAAGACACGAUGCCGGAUAACAUCCGGGUGGCGCGAGCCAACGGAAAGUGCAACAGAGAGUAAACCGCCCAAUUUAUUGGGUAAGGGUGAAAGGGUGCGGUAAGAGCGCACCGCAAGGCUGGUAACAGUUUUGGCAUGGUAAACCCCAUCGGAAGCAAGACCAAAUAGGAGUGGCGUAUAGGUGUGUUUUCCACCUGUCAUUCGGGUAGGUCGCUUGAGGCGUUUAGUAAUAAACGUCCCAGAUGAAUGAUUAUCCCCUUUUUUAGGGACAGAACCCGGCUUAUAUGCCUUCUG
rnacentral:RNase_P_RNA from 1 species